AGUCAUAUGCUUGUCUCAAAGAUUAAGCCAUGCAUGUCUAAGUAUAAACAACUUUAUACUGUGAAACUGCGUACAGCUCAUUAUAUCAGUUAUUAUUUAUUUGAUGGUCAACUACUACUUGGAUAACCGUAGUAAUUCUAGAGCUAAUACAUUACCACAGCUUCAACCUUACGGGCGAAGCGUAUUUAUUAGAUAAAAAACCAAUGUGCUUCGGCAUUUUUUUGGUGACUCAUAGUAACUGUUCGAAUCGAGGAUCACUCCACGAUAGUUCAUUCAAAUUUCUGCCCUAUCAGCUUCCGACGGUAGUGUAGUGGACUACCGUGGCAUUAACGGGUGACGG
rnacentral:rRNA from 1 species